rnacentral:rRNA from 1 species
AUGCUCCCCUCGCUAUCCCGCAUCUGUGGCUUCCUCUUUCUCUUCCCAUCCUCGUCAUUUCCUCUUUGCCAUUUCACACAUGCAUCCCCUGGAACAGAGGUUGGGAGAGAUGGCAAUGGCGAUUUGGAUCUCCCUCUUGGCGAUCGAUGCAGUUGGUUGUUGGUGACUCAUCUGCACUCUUUGUCCCACUCCCCUGCUGCCUCCGCGCCCCGCUCGACCUCCCGUCGGUUGUCUGCAGGAUAUCUCGCCCCCCGCACCAACCACGGCCCCAAUUUCCCGCCUCCUGCCGAUUUUUGUUCAUCUGAUUCGGUCCCUGUGCAUGUCCCAGUCGGAUGGGAUGCUUUUUGUUUCAGUUCAGAUCCCUUUGAUUUGCUUUUGUACUUCCCUAUUGGUCUCGAUGAGCACUGGUUCUCAUUUGUCGUUUGCAUCAAAGAUAAAGCUUUUGUGUUUCUUGAUUCGGCUUAUGGAUCGUAUCACAGAGAUAUCCGUGAUGACCUGGGAGGCAAUGCCAAGUGA